AAGUGUUUGGGGAACUCUAGG
rnacentral:miRNA from 1 species